CACCCAAAUUUAGCGUAGAAUGUGGUUUGCUGACUAUUAGUGAGAUGUUACAACAGUUAGUGGACGUUAAUUGUGCAUGGCAUAUGAUCCGGAAUUUCACCAUCUCAUCGAUAAGAGACCCAAGAUGAUAAGCCUAUCACCCCUUCUAAACGCAUACAUUUCUACUUUACAUAUUCAAUGGGAGGAAGUCCAGUAGCGUGGCUUCGGUCCUGCGUUGGCUUGACGUCCCCUCUGUGACAUGAUCAUCUAACACUUCCCCACGUGUGUUGCGAAACACGCAAAGUAUGAAUGAUGUUGAUUGAAUGAAAGUGUGAAAGUGUGCUUGCGUGUAGAACUACAUAUGACAACAACAAAUAAACAUUCAC